AUGCAGUGAUGAUUGCAUAGUUCAGCAGAUAACUAUGAAGAAUAACUAUUGUCUUUCGCUCCU
rnacentral:snoRNA from 1 species